rnacentral:lncRNA from 1 species
GUUCAAGCCAGGCCAAUCAGAGCCCUUCUCUGGGGUUAUGCCUGGAUGUUGGGUGGGGGAAAGGCUCUGUUUCCUCUGGGCCGCUGAAAACCUGGUGCUGCCUUUGGCCGUGGCCUCUCCCUCUGUCUGGCCAUUUGGAAGAAAGGAUGAGCGUGGGCUUCUGACCUUGUGUGAUGGGCACAGACCAGGGUCUCCUACUCAGAAGUCUAAGUAUUGCCGCUGCUGACGGGCUGGAGGGCCAGCGUGGCCUCCCCUCGUGCUCACGUGCACCCCGCGCCAUCUGUCCCCGGGUCUCCCAGGUAAGGGUCCUGCUCCUUGGGGGGGAGGGGGCGUGUCCAGUGUCCGUCCUGGGGUUCUGCCUCCCGCCCUCUUGCUCACAUGUGACCUCAGAGAUCACAGGGUGCAUCUGUCCCUGGGAGCCCAGGGCCCGCACACAGCGGGCCCUUGGUCACUGCCGGUCCCCUCUCCUCCCGCAGCUCCAGGAGAUGAGCAGGGGGGGCUCCCAGGGGCUCUGAAUGCUCACGAGGCUGGGGUGCGGUGGGGAGAGCUAGGGCUGAGGCUUUUGCUCAGUAAGGAGAUAAGGGCCCCCAUGCCGUCAGGCUGGAAGGGGACUUGGUGGCCGUCUGGCCAACGCCUGGACUGUCAGAUGGGGGAGCGGAGACGGCUAGGGGGAAGGCACAAUGACGCAGGGCUGGCUUCUAGGGGCGCUGUCAAUGCCAAGCUCUCUGCGGGGUGGACAGGGCUCACCCACGUGGACACCUGCUGGGGCCCGGGCCCAGCACCUGGCUCCGUGGGUGUCGUCUCCCUCAGGGCUCACAUUGGUCCUGUGAGGCAGGCGUGAGCCCAUUUCCCCCAGGAGGAAAGCAAGGCCUCAGACAGGGGGAGCGACUUGUCCAGCAUCCCGCAGCUAAUCCUUCUGCCACACAAAACUGGCCCACUGGGAAAGACACCCCAACCUCCUGGCGUUUGUGCCCCCCAGAGAUCCCCUAAUCUCACCCACUUCCUGACCCCAGGGCUGGAGGGCAGAGGGAAGGGUGCGGGGACCCGGGACC